rnacentral:rRNA from 1 species
GAUGAACGCCGACAGAAUGCUUAACACAUGCAAGUCAACUUGAACUUCGGUUUGGGUGGCGGACGGGUGAGUAACGCGUAAAGAACUUGCCUCACAGAUAGGGACAACAUUUGGAAACGAAUGCUAAUACCUGAUAUUAUGAUUAUAUGGCAUCGUAUAAUUAUGAAAGCUAUAUGCGCUGUGAGAGAGCUUUGCGUCCCAUUAGCUAGUUGGAGAGGUAACGGCUCACCAAGGCGAUGAUGGGUAGCCGGCCUGAGAGGGUGAUCGGCCACAAGGGGACUGAGACACGGCCCUUACUCCUACGGGAGGCAGCAGUGGGGAAUAUUGGACAAUGGACCAAGAGUCUGAUCCAGCAAUUCUGUGUGCACGAUGAAGUUUUUCGGAAUGUAAAGUGCUUUCAGUUGGGAAGAAAAAAAUGACGGUACCAACAGAAGAAGUGACGGCUAAAUACGUG